AAUCAACGCUGGCGGCGUGCCUAACACAUGCAAGUCGAACGCGAAAGGGGCUUCGGCCCUGAGUAGAGUGGCAAACGGGUGAGUAACACGUGGGUGACCUGCCUCAGAGUGGGGGAUAACGUCCCGAAAGGGACGCUAAUACCGCAUAACAUCCUGCCUUUGGAAAGGCGGAGAUCAAAGCCGGGGAUCGCAAGACCUGGCGCUUGGAGAGGGGCCCGCGUCUGAUUAGCAGUUGGUAGGGUAAUGGCCUACCAAGGCAACGAUCAGUAGCCGGCCUGAGAGGGCGGACGGCCACACUGGGACUGAGACACGGCCCAGACUCCUACGGGAGGCAGCAGUGGGGAAUCUUGCGCAAUGGGCGAAAGCCUGACGCAGCGACGCCGCGUGAGGGAUGACGGCCU
rnacentral:rRNA from 1 species